CUCAGAGUGGUCACAUCCAGCCCACACACUGAUGGCUCAUGGUGAAGCCCAGGGAGCUCUCUUCCCUUUGGUGUAGCAAGCGCAGGAAGUAGAAACUCUCCAGCCUGGUUUGGUUAGAAUGCAGCACAGUGAAGAACUCUGGGCUGAUGAGGAACUUCACAGGGGGCGACUGUAACAGCAGCGUGAGCCUGGAUCUGGAGAGAAGUCCAAUGGCGUCUACGACACACACGGCCCAGUGGACAGGACAUCAAAGCUGAAAGCAGCAGCCAAGUCUCCUACUCCGUACCCUGUAAAAACCCAACCCCAACAGAGAGCAGUAACAGCAGGAGGUGG